AUGGCUUUUGUGCAACGUCGAAAGGGUCCUCAUGUAGUGGGAUCAUUCAGAUUGUUACAACCUCUAGCAGAUGGUUUGAAAUUGAUUCUAAAAGAACCUAUUUCACCAAGUAGUGCUAAUUUCUCCCUUUUUAGAAUGGCUCCAGUGGCUACAUUUAUGUUAAGUCUGGUCGCUUGGGCCGUUGUACCUUUUGAUUAUGGUAUGGUAUUGUCAGAUCCGAACAUAGGGCUACUUUAUUUGUUUGCCAUAUCUUCGCUAGGUGUUUAUGGAAUAAUUAUAGCAGGUUGGUCUAGUAAGACGGGGGGUGGCGGUUCGGUCGCCUAUGAUAUACGGACCAAUUGGUCCAAAAUGGGGCUAGGGCUCAUAAACCCUUUCUUUCAUUCAUCAAGGGGUCGGUCACUUUUCCGAGCCGGGAUCGAGAAGUGGAAGUCAUAA
rnacentral:rRNA from 1 species